AGAGUUUGAUUCUGGCUCAGAACGAACGCUGGCAGCGUGGAUUAGGCAUGCAAGUCGAACGUGAUCCGGAAUGUAGCAAUACAGUACGGUGAAAGUGGCGCAAGGGUGAGUAACGCGUGGAUAAUCUACCUCUAAGUUGGGGAUAACCUUCCGAAAGGAGGGCUAACACCGAAUGUGGUCACUUCACAUAAGUGGGGAGGAUCAAAGAUGGGGAUCUUUCGGGACCUGUCGCUUGGAGAGGAGUCUGCGUGCCAUCAGCUAGUUGGUAGGGUAAUGGCCUACCAAGGCUUACGGCUAGCUGGUCUGAGAGGAUGACCAGCCACACUGGGACUGAGACACUGCCCAGACUCCUACGGGAGGCUGCAGUCGAGGAUCUUGGACAAUGGGGGAAACCCUGAUCCAGCGACGCUGCGUGGAGGAUGAAGGCCUUCGGGUUGUAAACUCCUGUCAUUCGGGAAAAACGACUUUGGGAUUAAUACUUCCAGAGAGUGAUGGUACCGAAAGAGGAAGCCACGGCUAACUCUGUGCCAGCAGCCGCGGUAAUACAGAGGUGGCAAGCGUUGUUCGGAUUUACUGGGCGUAAAGGGUGCGUAGGUGGUCGCUCGUGUCGGGUGUGAAAGCCCACGGCUUAACCGUGGAACGGCAUUCGAAACUGGGUGACUUGAGUACAGGAGGGGAGAGCGGAAUUCUUGGUGUAGCGGUGAAAUGCGUUGAUAUCAAGAAGAACACCGGUGGCGAAGGCGGCUCUCUGGAAUGUUACUGACACUGAGGCACGAAAGCUGGGGGAGCAAACAGGAUUAGAUACCCUGGUAGUCCCAGCUGUAAACGGUGUGCGCUUGGUGUGGGGAGAUUUGACCCUCCCCGUGCCGGAGCUAACGCGUUAAGCGCACCGCCUGGGGAGUACGGUCGCAAGACUAAAACUCAAAGAAAUUGACGGGGGCCCGCACAAGCGGAGGAGCAUGUGGCUCAAUUCGAUGCAACGCGAAGAACCUUACCAGGACUUGACAUGCAGCUGCACGUCCGUCGAAAGGCGGAUUCCUUCGAGGGUGCUGCACAGGUGCUGCAUGGCUGUCGUCAGUUCGUGCCGUGAGGUGUUGGGUUAAGUCCCGCAACGAACGCAACCCCUGUUUAGUUGCCACCGCCGCAAGGCGAGCACUCUAAACAGACUGCCUGUACAAAACAGGAGGAAGGUGGGGACGACGUCAAGUCAGUAUGGCCCUUAUGUCCUGGGCUGCACACGUGCUACAAUGGCCGGUACAGAGGGAAGCAAGACCGCGAGGUGGAGCAAAUCCUUAAAACCGGUACCAGUUCGGAUUGAAGGCUGAAACUCGCCUUCAUGAAGUUGGAUUCGCUAGUAACGGCGUAUCAGCUACGACGCCGUGAAUACGUUCCCGGGCCUUGUACACACCGCCCGUCACAUCAUGAAAGCCGUCUGCACCCAAACACGCCGAGCUAACCCGCAAGGGAGGCAGGUGUCUAAGGUGUGGGUGGUGAUUGGGAUGAAGUCGUAACAAGGUA
rnacentral:rRNA from 1 species